UACAGAGGUCCACAGUGUUGUGAUUCACUGGGCGUAAAGGGUGCGUAGGUGGCGAGGUAAGUCGGAUGUGAAAGCUCGGAGCUCAACUCCGAAAUGGCAUUGGAAACUACCUUGCUCGAGGGUUGGAGGGGGGACUGGAAUACUUGGUGUAGCAGUGAAAUGCGUAGAUAUCAAGUGGAACACCAGUGGCGAAGGCGAGUCCCUGGACAACUCCUGACACUGAGGCACGAAAGCUAGGGGAGCAAACAGG
rnacentral:rRNA from 1 species